GGUUGGGUAGCUUAAUGGUUAGAGCGCCCUUGUCCUCCUGUUCGCAGGGGGACACUCUCCGAAUGAGUUUUUCUAAUAGAGCUCAUCCGAUGGGUAAGUUGAGGUUCGAGUCCUCACCCAACCACCA
rnacentral:tRNA from 1 species